rnacentral:lncRNA from 1 species
GGGCCUAAGGUUUCUUGCAAAAGUUAAGACAGAUAUAAAGCUCACAUUGCUAAAAAUAAUCCAAUAAAUAAAUAAUCAAAACUUACACAGAAGUAAAAACAUUCCCAUUAAAAAGCACAUUGUUAAAUUCCCAAAAGCCUGUCUCACAAGGCAAGUUUGUAUUUCCUUGAGAUACUCUUGAUUGCGAACAGGUGUGUUUAAACUUCUCUAGGAUUUGGGAACCUCCCUGUGUUUGCACCAGAAGGUGCAUGGAUGGAUAUAAGGAUUUUUCAAAGGCCUCAAAACCUAUCUUGGGUCAUUGCUACAGGAACUGGGAUGCUCUGCUUCAGCUUUUCUUCUAACCUGUUUUGCUGAACACUAGGAAGACUGGGCUUGUUUUCGGGCAUCUGCUGUGACUCCUCCAAUGCCCCGGGGGAGUCAACGCGUCUCCUGUGAUGGAAAGGUUCUGCCAAGGGAUUGAGGACUGGAUUGCCGGUAUAAUUCAUUUUAAUGCCUUCCCCACAUACUAAUCAUUUGCAAAGGUAAGGUCUUCUCUAAUAGGAACAUGACUGGGGAAAGACAGAAGUAAUUGAUCAUUUUCCCUCCUUUUUGCAUUAGAAAGGGGUGAUUAAAAACCAAAUCCCUCAUCUGUUCCAGAGGGAAAGGCA